UACGAAGGGUGCAAGCGUUACUCGGAAUUACUGGGCGUAAAGCGUGCGUAGGUGGUUUGUUAAGUCUGAUGUGAAAGCCCUGGGCUCAACCUGGGAAUUGCAUUGGAUACUGGCAGGCUAGAGUGCGGUAGAGGAUGGCGGAAUUCCCGGUGUAGCAGUGAAAUGCGUAGAGAUCGGGAGGAACAUCUGUGGCGAAGGCGGCCAUCUGGACCAGCACUGACACUGAUGAGCGAAAGCCAGGGGAGCAAACGGG
rnacentral:rRNA from 1 species